CACAACGUCGGGAUUUGCCAGCAGCUCCGGCGGCGUUCCCCCGACCGACGCCAGCCACCGGAGGAACUCGCCGUCCGACAACUCGCUUCGUUUUGGACCUUUAAGCCGAGUUUCAGACUACAAGAGUAAAACAGCAUCAGUUUAGAGAAUAAUGGCAACCGGAGGAACUGAGGCCUUUAUGAACAUGAGAAUUAUGAUGAACUCACAUGUGGAGCUGAAGCUCCAGACAGGAACAUGUGGACCGGCUCCAAGUUGUGAACUUUCUUCAGAUCUUCUGCAACAGCAAAGCUGGAGAAUUUCACUCUGAUUCUCCAGAAUGAAAUCCCCGACUGCUGGAUGGAACAUACUGACUACUCAAAACUGAUCCACAUCACCCCUUCCAGUGGCUGUGAGAUGUCCCACCUG